AACCCAUGGUUAGGGCACCUUCUCAACAAGUCCUUGUAUCUCUCCCAUGCUUUAUAAAGAGUUUCUAGAUCCUUUUGCACAAAAUAAGAGAUAUCAUUCCUUAAUUU
rnacentral:snoRNA from 1 species